rnacentral:sRNA from 1 species
UAAGAGAUUUAAUUGUAAGGUGGCCAGG